UACGGGGGGGGCAAGCGUUGUUCGGAAUUACUGGGCGUAAAGGGCUCGUAGGUGGCCAACUAAGUCAGACGUGAAAUCCCUCGGCUUAACCGGGGAACUGCAUCUGAUACUGGAUGGCUUGAGUUUGGGAGAGGGAUGCGGAAUUCCAGGUGUAGCGGUGAAAUGCGUAGAUAUCUGGAGGAACACCGGUGGCGAAGGCGGCAUCCUGGACCAGCACUGACACUGAGGAGCGAAAGCCAGGGGAGCAAACGGG
rnacentral:rRNA from 1 species